AACAGAUGCUCCCCCUGGAGCCUCUAGAAGAAACCAGCCUGCGGAUCCCUUGAUUUUAGAGCUUCAGGCUUUAAAACGGAAUGUAAUCACCACGUCCAACCUUCAGAUCUCGGGUCGCAGAAGAGGCAACCCACCCUCAAGCCUUUCCAGCCCAAGAGAAAGAUGCUAUCCACUUCGUGGCUGAGAAGACCCCCUGAGGCCAGAUUAAAGGGACUAGAGAAGUUCAUCAAGAGAUUACCUGAGCGUCUUUCCUGGUGGUCCAGUGGCUAAGACUCCAUGCUUCCAAUGCAGGGGGCCCAGGGUCAACCCCUGCUCAGGGAACUAGAUCUCACAUGCUGUUACUAAAACUUCCGCAGGCCACAACUGAAGAUCCUCCGUGCUGUGCUGCAACAAAGAUCCCGUGCCCGAAACUAAGUGCUGGGGCAGCCAAAUAAAUAAAUGUUUUUAAAAAGUAAGAGAGAGAGAGAUUACCUGAGACCAGAUUAAAGGAGUGCAGGCCCUGCAUACACCCUGAUCCUUAUCAGCAACCCCACCCUUGAACCAUUGCUACAAGACUCCUCACUACCCGCCCCCCUCC